UUCCCAUCUUUUUCACUAGCCACUUUCUUCAAAAAGGAGUAAGAAGUUCCUUUUUCUCUCAAACUUGUUCAUCUUCAAGUAAGUUCUUCAAGAAAUUUCUUCAAUAAUUCUAGCUUCUAAUCUAGUUUUGUUUUUGAAAAUUGUAGGGAGAUCUUGCAAGUACCAAAGGAAAGUAGAAAGGUUUCAAGAAUAAUUAAAGCCAGUCAAACUUUUGACUGUUGAUUUUUGUGUAAUCAAGAGUUUAGAGAAGAAGUUGCAGGUACAAGUUCUUGAUGUGCAUGGAAAUCAUAAGCAUCCGGAUGGGAGUUUUAGUACACGAGUACUUUCUUAUUUAAGUUAUCUUGAAUUUUAUAUUUGACUUUACUUGACCAAUGGGGUCAAGGUUUGACUUUUGAAUAUGGGACUAGUAUGGGAUAGUCUCGGAGUUUGUAAUUCAUUUACAUACUUUCUUAUUUCUAUUGUAUUAAAGUAUUUCCAGUUUAUUUUAAAA